AGGAAUACAAGUCAUAAAGCAAUUAACAGGUAGGAAUUUUUCCAAAAGGAGGUUAUGUUUUCCUUUCAAAUCAGCUUCUUCAGAAAUUAUCUUCAAAUUCAUCAGUAUAGGAAGGACUUAGUGCACCUUAUCAACUUUCCUGAGCUAUAUCUUCUGAGAUGGACUGAAACGUUAACUCUUGGUGCUGGUAAGUGACAUGGGAUUCAUUUAUUCUGGACCAUUUGGUCUGCUGCAGGAAGAAGCUUUUUGUUCCACAUGGAGGAGACUCAGCCACUCUUAGGUUGCUUCCCUGCAUGCUGAAGUUGAAUUUGAUUUCAUAAGCAUCAACAGGUACGUCAGUGUUUCUUUAAAGUCAGUUCUAUACCCAGAGUAGUGUUGUGUCUGUGCCCACCACGGUCUGUAUUUUCUGCUCACAUACUUCAUAUCUGUGUUCUGAUGACACCGUUUUAGAAACUGGGCACAGAAAUUCUUGUGUCACUUUGGCAAGCACACGAUUCCUUUUCCUGCCAAAAGUGAAUCACAAAUAUAAUAUUUGAAUUUAUUUUUACAUGCAGUUUAUGCUGAAUCAAGUAAAAGAAGACUGAGCUUGGAGAUGCAUCAGAUUUCUUUGCACUUUAUACAUUGUCUACAUUAUACAGCUUCACAUUUGGUAUUCUGAUCCUAAAGAAUUUUAGGGCAAAGAAGCUGUCCCAUGCAACUUCAUAGAAAAUAGUUCCUUUUCAUUCAUUCUUUUACCUGUAAUUCUUACACGGAUGCAUCAUAUUGUAUAUGAGAGGAAAACAUUGCCGUACUGCAUAGUCAACUCCAUUUAUAUCACUGAAAGGGCAGCAAUCCGAAGCCUGAGUAACUUGAGCUCCAUGUGCAUCGCCACCCAAGCGAGCUGGACAUACAGUGACACCCAAAUGCCAGUGCUGGGCACAGGUCUGUGCAGCUCCAUCCUUGUGGAUUGUCUCCACUGGAGCAAAGCGUGUCGUUAAACCCUGCUAUGCUGUGCUAUGCUUCACUGGGCAGCUGUGGGAAAUAAUAUAAAAUAGAGCACACACUGCACCGUGCACCUCGUUCUACAGAGCAGGUAUAGACUCUGUAAUUACACCACAAUGCCUGGCACAUACCAUGUAAAUGCAUAGCAAUUGCAUGUUCCUACAGCUUACUUGUUAAUUAUGCAUUGUUACUAACAAGUUCAAAGAUAAAUUAUCAUAGCACAUGCAGCACUUAGAUGCUUGCAAACCUCCUAAGCUAUGAAUUUGUCCUAUUAAUGGCCACUAUUGUUGCUUUUCCACUGGGAAGGGAAGCGCGGUGCUGUCUCAAGCUGAAGGCCAGCAGUUGGAGCACGCAGCUCUUAGUGGUGCAGCAGAGAUACGCUGAAGCACUUCAACCAAGGAGGAAAUCUGGAUGAAUUAACAAAAUAACUUCCAUUAACAAAUCACUUUGCAAAUUCCAUUUAGUAAUCCUCCUAAGCAAAUGCUGUAUUUAAAAUCACUGGCACUUGCAUGCUGUUUUCCUGACCCAAUAUUUAAUUCUGCACAAGCUAAAAAUGAAAGGAAAACCUCAUUCGACUGAUGUCACUGGCAAAACUCCUAUUGAUUUCAGUGAUGCAGGGUUCUACCCAGGCAGCUUACUUGUAAGUGGGUUCUUGAAAUAGCUUAUAUUAUAUUCUGGCAGAAAUAGAUCACCAUGUAAGGCCACUUCACAGUCCAUGCUGGCUCUUCUGUGAGCCGCACUGCAGUAUUUUAGACUACAACAUAUAACUUUUAACAGCUACCUUAAUAGCAUUGUACAAAAUACAGUUAUUCUCUACAAACAUUGCUUUUCUCCAAAGUGAAGCUUCCCUGUAAGACAUAACUCUGUAAUGGUUUGGUGUCAGCUGUAUAGAACCAGCCACACUGGAUCAUCUUGCUUUUUUGGGUUGUUUUUUAUUUUGAUUGGUUGUUUGGGUGGUUUUUUUCCCCUCAGUUUUUCCUAUUUUCAUAUGGAUUUUCAGUUUGAAAGGUGAUGCUGAUGUGUUUAAGGAAGGUCAGGAGGCAGCUUCGUGGCUGAUGUGAACUCAGGUAGUGCCAGUGGCUAUCAGGGAACAAGGGAGCUGGAGGAAGCUGGUCUUGCUGGUAAAGCAAAGAACUGGAAUGUGCUCAUGUGACAGGGGAGCACAAACCAAAGGAAGGCUGAAGAGAGUAGCAAGAAGAAAUGCCAGGACGUGAGCUGAGGUGCUAGUUGGAACAGAAGACAAGUCUGUCUAGGAAUGGCAGGUGAAUUUACACUUGUGUUGGAGACUCCUUAAAGAUGAAGGGUCAAGGAAGCAGGGAGAGAGACCAGGAGAAGGCAGGGAGGCAGAGAAAGCAAAAGGAUGAUGGUGAUGGUCUGUUUUGAAAGAGCAACUGGCCUAGUGUGCCAAAAUGAGAUUGCAUUUCAGCAGGAAGAGAACAGCUGGCAGAGUGCAAGGCAGAUUUUGAGGUUAAAGACAAGAGCAAGGAAAGGGGCAAGAAGGUUUAUAGAAGCCAAACAGGAACAAAGUGGGAUCAGAUCACUGCAGCAACAUAUAACGUGCCAGAAGGCUUUAUUAUCUGCUGUGCUCUCUAGUUGCAAGUGCAAGAUGGUCACUAGUUUCUAAGACAAAAUAUAUUCUUAUUGAAGUUCCUUCAUUCUCCAGUGGAAAAUAACUUCUUAUGCAGAAGGACUGUUAUUUUGAAUGGAUUUGAAUUUUCAAUGGAUUUAAUACCAGUACUGACUUUAAAUAAAAGAGAGGCACACAUCUCCAGUGCUGGAGAUCCAGCGUUGCAAUGGAGGCUCGCUGGCCCUGUGUCUGAAAUCAGCAGGUCCUUUGAAGGCGGUGUCCUUGUUCAGAUGGAUUUACCUUGUUGUCCUUCCCCAACUCUCACUUCCUCCUCAACCCCUACACUGGAGCCUGAAGAAAUGUUUGCAGGUUUCCCUAGAUAAUAGGCAUAUUUCUAAUGCAAACUGAAGGCCAAACUCUUUUUUAAUUCCUAAGGGCUAAUUUUGUCCCUACUGAAAUCUACAGCAAGGUUCCUGCAGCCUGCAGUGGUCCCAGGUGUGGUUCGAGCAGCCCUGAUCUGACCUUGGAAUUCUAAUGAAAAAAGCCUAUGUACAAGAAGUGGGGAAAACAAUCAUUAAUAAAUAUAUUAGGAGAACAUGGUUCCCUUGAAAAAGGUUCAUUAUUUUGGUAGUUACUUGUUCAAUAAGAGAAAAAAGUCUAAUCAAUGAGAGGAGAAAUUAAAAGUUAGGAAUCUCACCAAAACAGAGAGUAGAAUACUGCGUUCAAGAGGACAGCCACCAAUUAAGGGAGAUGUCAACAACUCAAGUGGCAGCAACUUCAAAAGGGAAAUCUUUUCCUCAUUUUCAUAUGCAUUCUUCAUAAACAACAUCAAGAAGCAUAACAUGCUAAUAGCUAAUAACACUCAGAAUAAGAUUCACUAAUUUACUAACUGAAUAAUUUAAUGCAUAUCAAAGGAAUGAUUUCCUCAUUUCAUUCUUUUUUUAGAUCUAAUGCUAAGCCGGGUAUUAUCAAAUAGAUGAAACUGCACAGAUUACAAGUCAUCGCUGAAAUAGUCAUUUUGGAAUUGAGCUUGUUUUUUUCCACUGGAUGUAUCUUUUUGAGUUUAAGGAAUUGUGUUCCUUUUUUUCUUGUUCUGGCGAUGGAUUGUAAAGAAAGAAAGAAAGAAAGAACAGAAAAGAAAAGAAUGAUCAGCUGUGCUGAACCAAGACAAGGAGAUGGGAUGCGGUGAGCAGUGUGCCCCAUGGUCCCUUGGCUGGGCUCACCCACCUGCUCGGGCCCAGAUGUACAGUGGAUAGGAGAUUUUAUUUGUGCUGGAAUGGAAGCUGAUCACCCAGCACCACGCACCAUGUUUCUGUGUAGUGCCCCAGACUGAGGGCAGGCAGGCUGGAACCAUUGGCUUUGUGGCAGAUGGAGCAACAUUUGCAAUUGGGGAAAAAAACAAACAACAACUCUCAUGCUGCCAAAAUAUUAUCAAGGGGCUUCCUCGGAAAUAUUCUGCCAUGGCCAUUGGUAGAUGUAAAUACCCCGUACAUAGCACUUCCUCCAAGGAACAUGGUAUAAUUUCAGCAGACUUUCUGAUGACAAGGACCUCUCUGCACCUGCUUUUAUCUCCUGCAAAGUCCUUCACUUCAAGUCAUGAGCUUUCAGCACUGCAGCGUCUCAUGGAUGUGACCUGUGGUGAUUGUGGUCAGCAGAGCAGAGCUGGUUUGGGGUCCCCGGUGUGGCUGUGCUGAGUCAGGUGGCAGGCUUGGCAGCAACGGCACAGUGUGAAAUCAAACAGAUUCAUGUGCAACAUCAAAGAAUUUCAGUGAUUUUUUUCAUUCCAUUUAUAUGCCAACUCUCUGGUGAUGGAGUCAGACGUGUCGCGACAGUCCUGCAAGCAGCAAAGAUUACCACUCUCUCUGCCACUACUGCUGUUCUCCUUGCUAGCACUUGGGAAGCUACUGUAGCAAAGGUCUCAGGGGUGACAAUCUGGAAUUUAAGGCCAAUACAUGGUGAGACCCUUGGUGGAAUGGAUGGCACUUCGGCAAGCAACACUGACUUAUCUGGGUAAGAUGAAGAAUUGAAUUACUGUAGCAGAUUGAAAGCCAAGGUCUGGCUUGGAUGGUAUUCCUGAACCUAGUAGCAUCCUUACUCCAUGCUUAGGUAGUGAGAUCUGUCACUUGUGCUCUAGAUACUCGUAUUAACUGCAUAAAUGAUGUCAACAGAAAUGACAUGUAUUUAAAAUGUUAGAGUUGCUCUUCUGAAAUGGUUCAAGUACACAUUUUUAGCUUCUACAAUCUCUUCUGAUUACACCACUUGCAAAGGUAUUGUAUUCCUUGUAGUAUCUAGCUAUAGUAACUUGUUAGUAGCUGUACUACCGCUGAUUCCCCUACAUAAAGCACUGCAGAAUAUACUUCAAAUACUGGCUUUUUGUGUGUCUCACACAAGUAGUCAUUAAUACCAAGGGAACAGCAUGCUACUGUUCCAGGUUUUCUAAGAACUAAUCCUAUCGCUCUCCACCAGCUCCUGUUGCCGGCUCCACAAUGCCUUUAUUAUUUAUGCUUUUACUCUUAAAAACUCAAAUUUAGAUCUGAAAAUUUUCAUGCUUUUGUUUCUUUUUAAAAUAAUUAAAGCAGGCAAAUGGACCUGAUGUAAUCUGCAUAGCGUGCACCAUGGCUGUGAAAGCACUGCUUGUUCUCUGAAAGGAGGAAUUCUUCCAGCCGUCAUCCCAUGCCCCCUCCCUGUGCGGCCGCCUUUCCCAUACACUUGGGGGACUUGCUGCCAGUCAUUGGUUUGCCCUGGAGGUUUGCUACAGUGAUAUUAUGGUUUGCUGGAUGUUCAAUGCCCGGCAGGUUUGUCUCUAAGCAUAACCUCAAGUUUAGUGUUUUGCUGUUCUGCUGGCGUAGCGAUUGCUUUUCCCAAAGCACCAUCCUCUCCCUGGGUGCUCGGGGUACACACCGCUCCAUCUUCACACGGCCUUCACAGCAGGCUUGCAGGGAUCUUUUCUCCUCCUCUGCCACCCCACAGCAAGUGGCAUGUUUUCAGAUAUGUUCCAUCCACAAAGGAUUUGAAUGUUGGCCUAGCAUAUUUUACUGGUACUUGAAUGGCCUAAAGAAAGUAUUUGGAAAGCGGCAGAUGCCUUUGGAAAAGACUGAAAGAGAAAAAAACUAGACUAGAUGGGGAUGUUAGCAGGUCAGCUGGCCCAGGAAAACAGAAUAAAGAGUGCAGUGCAGAAGUGGUUGCCAGCAAGCAGCCGUGUAAGCCCUGCCUCACAACCACCAAGCUCCUCCCGGCCCCUCUGCUGUGACACACUCAGCCUGUCAGUACAAGAACUACAAACUGUGGUACAGAUCAUUCAGGCAAAUCAGAUUUCCUAAACCUUGUUUGUUUUUUUCUUUCCCAAACAGAUAAAAAUAGGUAUUGUCUGAGGAGGAACGAGGACCAGGUACUACAGCACGUGAUGUGGGGUUUUUUCAUAGCCACAGCAGCGCUCCAGGUGUACGGGCAGCAGCUGGCACCAAACUGCUAUCAUGGCUGCUGGGCACCACCAAAACACAGGGAAACAUCAUACUGCUUCUGUAACAGGAACAACAGAGCUGUAAAAUGAAGAUGCCAAGUGGAAUUCUUAAGUAAUAAGGUAUCAUUCCAUCACUGGUGCCUUUGGUGGGCCACUGCACAGUGCAGGCCAUUGGGAUGCACUUCUUCAUGGGAAUGUUCCACUGACACACCUGGAAAACACAAUGAGUGCACAACAGCUCGGGAAGAUUUAACAGUUUGGGAGGAAUUAACAAAGAGACAACAGUGCUUGCCGUGACAGUAAAGGAAGAGGCAUUAAAUAAAACAGCUUGCCACAACGUGGCUUCUGACUAAGAGUGAAAAAUGUAAUGGGGAAGAAUGUACUUCGGAUAAACAGACAUUCUGUUAAGGUAAAUGCAAAAGUAUGUGCCAGUAGGAGGGAAAAAAACACGUCUUCUUCCUGUACAGUCACCAUCAGCACCCAUUUGCAUGAAGCAAGUAAGGAGAGCGGACUUCCUGAGAAGCAGAACAGAACAGUGUCGUGGAUAAGCAGAGGGGACAUACAAUUUACUGACAGCUUUCAUAGAACUCUCAGGGUCUGUUUGGCCAGCUGGGAGGGAAGAGAGGAAAACAAUCAGUAAACAGUCAUUUACUGUGCACCUCUUAAAGUCCUUGCUAGCAGUCCUCAGUCUGUCUCUCUCUAAGAGACAGAGAACUUGAGAAAGGCAAAAAGUCUAUGUGGUUGCUGGAAAGCAAGCAAUGAUGGUGCAAAAUCAGUUGAUACAGUUCAUAGCUGUCAGUGAGAUGGUCUUUGUAGACACUCACCUGGUAGAAACUGCUGUGGUACAAGGCUUGAGCCAGAUACAGCGACGGAUGGACCAUUAUUUCAGGGUAAGUGGCAGGCAUGCCCAUAACUUAGAGGAAAAACAAAGGAAAAAAGGAAAUAACUUAUUAAGGCAGAAAAAAGGAAACAACUUAUUAAACUUACAUACUAAAAAUGGAGGUAAGGAUGGAGGACGAGAGAAGAUAGGGCCCAUUUUAUCUCUGCAUACAAUCUACCCCUACUACAGUCAGAUUACAGGAAAGGGAAAUAGGGCAGCUAACAUCUCAACCAACACAGGAAUCUCAGCACUUCCCGGAUGCUCACUUCCAAAUGUCUGUAUUUGCAUAUGGAGAUACUAAUAGAAAAGACCCCUUGUGUGCUGAAGUGAGAAUGCACAUGAGUGCCCUGCAGCAGGACAAGCUGUGGCCCACCCUCCGACCCAGCAGCAAGCAGACGGGACAGGAACUUUGCUCCUGCAGCACCAGCAAGGACUGUGAAGUUCUGAGGCAGCAGCAACUUGAUGACGUGCAGCGGGGUUAGAGCGGAG